AGCAGACGAUGCUCCGGUCCGACUUGUCUCAGCGGAUAUCUGGUGUUGUAGACUUAGCCUAAUAGAUCGGAGCCAAUAAAGAACCUGAAGGGAAUGAUGAAUUUUCAGGCAUUCCUGGUGGAAAGUAUGGUUUUCUUCAACUACUUGAUUGUGCAUAUGAAGAUGGCUUUAAAUGCACGAUUUGUGGAGAAGUGCCAUCCACCAUACUUAUGGGUGCAACAGGCCUUUCACAUCGGAAAGUGUAUGCCCCACCAGUCCCAGUGUUAACACUCGAGGAGGAAGGGUCAAAUCCUCACCCAAAGGCCAGAUACCACCUCGACUGAAUCUCGUACUUUGCAAGAAUCCUGACUGCAGAUGAUGUACCGUGUGUAUGUGGCAAUCACUGCUGUUUGUUUGUCUUGCUGUCUCCAUCAGAAUGUUAAAGUCUUUUAGAUUUCUAUGCAGAAUUCUAGUUAGAAUAGUUUUCUCACAAGAACAAUUUGCACAGUAAAUCAGUGCUUUGUUACCUGCUAAUUUUAAAAACACGACUUGGAUAAAACUCUCAAGGCUGUCUAAGAAGGCAAUCGUUGGCAUAAAACUCAUUAUCUUGCCAUUCCUGGUCAAGGCUGUCUAAGAAGGCAAUCUUUGGCAUAAAACUCAUUAUCUUGCCAUUCCUGGUCAAGGCUAUCUAAGAAGGCAAUAGUUGGCAUAAACCUCUAUCCUGGUCAAGGCUGUCUAAGAAGAAAAUGAUUGGCAUAAACCUCUUUAUCUCGGUCAAGACUGUCUAAGAAGAUAAUGGUUGGCAUAAACCUCUUUAUCU